UGGGUGUCUAAGGUUAUGGAUCAUAUAAAUUAAGGGUGCAAGUCCCUUAUGAAUCUCCUUGAUAGUUAUUAUGGGGCACCACUUUGAUUUGAUCAAUUUGGGCGUGUCCAUUGAUUAGAGGGCCUUUUAUUUUCAUAUGGGGCAUCUCUUGGGUGUAUUUUGGGGUAUCUAAUUAUGGAUGUAAGGGCUCCAAUUAUUGGCACCUAAUAGGCUUCCUAAUGUAAGUUGGAUAACUUAAGUUAAUAGGAAUCCUAAUGCAAGUAGGACUUGUAUUAUGAGAUUGAAUAGGAUUCAAUCCUUAUGCCUAUUU
rnacentral:lncRNA from 1 species